rnacentral:rRNA from 1 species
UGCAUGUCUCAGUGCAAGCCGCAUUAAGGUGAAACCGCGAAUGGCUCAUUAAAUCAGUUAUGGUUCCUUAGAUGGUGGACAGUUACUUGGAUAACUGUGGUAAUUCUAGAGCUAAUACAUGCAACCAGGUCCCGACCGGAAGCGGAAGGGACGCACUUAUUAGAUGAAAACCAAUCGGGCGUUCGCGUCCGUAUUGCUUGGUGACUCUGAAUAAGCCGUGGCGGAUCGCACGGUCUCCGAACCGGCGACGCAUCUUUCAAAUGUCUGCCUUAUCAACUGUCGAUGGUAGGUUCUGCGCCUACCAUGGUUAUAACGGGUAACGGGGAAUCAGGGUUCGAUUCCGGAGAGGGAGCCUGAGAAACGGCUACCACAUCCAAGGAAGGCAGCAGGCGCGCAAAUUACCCACUCCCGGCACGGGGAGGUAGUGACGAAAAAUAACGAUACGGGACUCAUCCGAGGCCCCGUAAUCGGAAUGAGAACACUUUAAACUCUUUAACGAGUACCUAUUGGAGGGCAAGUCUGGUGCCAGCCGCCGCGGUAACUCCAGCUCCAAUAGCGUAUAUUAAAGUUGUUGCGGUUAAAAAGCUCGUAGUCGGACUUGUGUCACACGCUGCCGGUUCACCGCCCGUCGGUGUCUAACUGGCAUGCACGUGCUGACGUCCUGCCGGUGGCCUUACCCCGCUCGGCAAGCCUGCGGCGGUUCUCGCGCGCGGGGUUGCGAAACCUCCCGAGAGGGGGGUCGCUCCUCGCCGUCCCCGCAGGCCCCGGGAUCCGGGGGAGGGCCUGGUAUAACCCGUCGCGGGUGCUCUUUACCGAGUGUCUCGGCGGGCCGGCACGUUUACUUUGAACAAAUUAGAGUGCUUAAAGCAGGCAGAAUCCGCCUGAAUAUCGAGUGCAUGGAAUAAUGGAAUAGGACCUCGGUUCUAUUUUGUUGGUUUUAGGAAUGCCCGAGGUAAUGAUCAAUAGGGACGGCCGGGGGCAUUCGUAUUGCGACGUUAGAGGUGAAAUUCUUGGAUCGUCGCAAGACGGACCGGAGCGAAAGCGUUUGCCAAGAACGUUUUCCUUGAUCAAGAACGAAAGUUAGAGGUUCGAAGGCGAUCAGAUACCGCCCUAGUUCUAACCAUAAACGAUGCCAGCUGGCAAUCCGCCGAUGUUCCUCCGAUGACUCGGCGGGCGGCCUGCGGGAAACCAAAGCUUUUGGGUUCCGGGGGAAGUAUGGUUGCAAAGCUGAAACUUAAAGGAAUUGACGGAAGGGCACCACCAGCAGUGGAGCCUGCGGCUUAAUUUGACUCAACACGGGAAACCUCACCAGGCCCGGACACCGGGAGGAUUGACAGAUUGAUAGCUCUUUCUCGAUUCGGUGGGUGGUGGUGCAUGGCCGUUCUUAGUUGGUGGGGUGACUUGUCUGGUUAAUUCCGAUAACGAACGAGACUCUAGCCUGCUAACUAGUCGCUCCGGUAUCCUCAGAGCUACCGGCGACCAAAUAUCUUCUUAGAGGGACUGGCGGCUUCUAGCCGCACGAGAUUGAGCAAUAACAGGUCUGUGAUGCCCUUAGAUGUUCUGGGCAGCACGCGCGCUACACUGAAGGAACCAGCGUGUUUUUCCCUAUGCCGAAAGGCACGGGUAACCCGCUGAACCUCCUUCGUGCUAGGGAUUGGGGCUUGCAAUUGUUCCCCAUGAACGAGGAAUUCCCAGUAAGCGCGAGUCAUAAGCUCGCGUUGAUUACGUCCCUGCCCUUUGUACACACCGCCCGUCGCUACUACCGAUUGAAUGAUUUAGUGAGGUCUUCGGACCGGUGGGCGAGGGGUCUUCCCCUUCGAUUCCGCCGGGAAGAUGCCCAAACUUGAUUAUUUAGAGGAAGUAAAAGUCGUAACAAGGUUUCCGUAGGUGAACC